rnacentral:rRNA from 1 species
GAGGGAAUCUUCCGCAAUGGACGCAAGUCUGACGGAGCAACGCCGCGUGAGUGAAGAAGGAUUUCGGUUCGUAAAACUCUGUUGUUAGAGAAGAACAGCGCAUAGAGUAACUGUUAUGCGUGUGACGGUAUCUAACCAGAAAGCCACGGCUAACUACGUGCCAGCAGCCGCGGUAAUACGUAGGUGGCAAGCGUUGUCCGGAUUUAUUGGGCGUAAAGCGAGCGCAGGCGGUCAAUUAAGUCUGAUGUGAAAGCCCCCGGCUCAACCGGGGAGGGUCAUUGGAAACUGGUUGACUUGAGUGCAGAAGAGGAGAGUGGAAUUCCAUGUGUAGCGGUGAAAUGCGUGGAUAUAUGGAGGAACACCAGUGGCGAAGGCGACUCUCUGGUCUGUAACUGACGCUGAGGCUCGAAAGCGUGGGGAGCGAACAGG